rnacentral:rRNA from 1 species
GAUGAACGCUGGCGGCGUGCCUAAUACAUGCAAGUCGAGCGAAGCGGGCACGGGUGAGUAACACGUGGAUAACAUCCUAUAAGACUGGGAUAAAUUCGGGAAACAGGAGCUAAACAGGAUACUUAUAGAUGGAUCCGCGCUGCAUUAGCUAGUUGGUAAGGUAACGCCGUACCAAGGCAACGAGGCAUCGCCGACCGGAGGGGUUGAUCGGCAACACUGGAGUUGAGACCCGGUCCAGACCCCUAGGGGGGGCAGCAUGAGGAAAUGUCCCGAAAUGGGAGAAAGCCUGAGGGAGCAACGCCGGGGGAGUGAUGAAGGUUUUGGGAUCGAAAAACUCUGUUAUUAGGGGAGCGGUACCGAAUCAGAAAGCCAGGGCGACCUCCGUGCCAGCAGCCGCGGGAAUU